UACGAGGGGGGCGAGCGUUUGUUCGGAAUUAUUGGGCGUAAAGGGUGCGUAGGCGGUUUGGUAAGUCUGAUGUGAAAUCUAUGGGCUCAACUCAUAGUCUGCAUCGGAAACUGCCGGGCUUUGAGUGUGGGAGAGGUGAGUGGAAUUCCUGGUGUAGCGGUGAAAUGCGUAGAUAUCAGGAGGAACACCUGUGGCGAAAGCGGCUCACUGGACCAUAACUGACGCUGAUGCACGAAAGCUAGGGGAGCAAACAGG
rnacentral:rRNA from 1 species